AAUGAACGCUGGCGGCAGGCCUAACACAUGCAAGUCGAACGAGCUGAGGGCUUCGGUCCCCGUUGCUAGUUGCCCACGGGCGAGUAACUCGUGGGUAUAUGCCCUUUAGUACGGAAUAACCUAGGGAAACUUUGGCUAAUACCGUAUACGCUCAUAGGGGGAAGGAUUUAUCUCAAAAGGAUUAGACCGCGUUUGUUUAGGUAGUUGGUGAGGUAACGGUUCAUCAAGUCGACGAUCAGUAGCCGGUCUGAGAGGAUGAUCAGCCACACUUGGACUGAGACACGGCCCAGACUCCUACGGAAGGCGGCAGUGGGGAAUAUUGGACAGUGGGGGCAACCCUGAUCCAGCCAUGCCGCGUGAGUGAAGAAGGCCUUCGGGUUGUAAAGCUCUUUCGACUGUGACGAUGAUGACGGUACCCGUAUAAGAAGCCCCGGCAAACUUCGUG
rnacentral:rRNA from 1 species